AAUGUGAUUUAUUCCCAUUGCUAUGCAUGUCAAAGUGAAUAAAUUCAACCAAGCACAAGUAAACAACGAGAGUAACUAUGACUAUAUUAAGGUAGUCAUAUGUCUCAUCAUCUAAUUAGUGAUGUGCAGGAAUGGAUCAUUAACGAGAUUCCCCAUUGUCCCUAGUUACUAUAUUCUAGAGAAACCACAUCCAAGGGAAUGGGCUUGGCAGAAUUAGCUGGGAAAGAAGACCCACAUGUUGAGAUUGACUCUAGUCCUAACCCAUUCAUAGUUUGGGAAAAUUAGGGCAUAGU
rfam:Picea glauca, whole genome shotgun sequence.